GCUCAGAUCGACCCUUCCCCCCGUCGCACCCUUCCUCCCUCGUCCCCAUCUCCUCGCCGCCGCCGCCCACCCUUCCUCCCUCGUCCCCAUCUCCCGAUUCCUCCUCCGCCGCCCCUCCCUUCCACCACCCUAGGCACUCCACCGCCGGGAGGCAACCCUUCCUCCUCACCCACGGCGCCGACCUCGCCGCCCCCACCCGUCAUGGUCGUCGUCCUAGGGUUCCGCCGCCCGCACCUAGCCCCCGACCUCUCCACCCAGACGGCCUUGACCAGAUCUACGGCCUAGCCCUAUCAAGCCGCAACCGUUCGCCGCUGCGGAUCCCGCGAGCCCCGUCCUCUUCUACCCCGUUCCGUGGCUUGGAGCUGCGACUGGACGGAGCUGCAUCUGGCGCCUACGGCAACGACCACGAUGACGGGAUUUCCCGGCCGGCCUCGAAGUGCCCAACCUCAAGAAGCGCGGCGGCGGCACGCGCAGCUGGAUCCGCCAUGAUGCGCUGUGCAGACGCUCGAGGUCGACAAGGCCACCAUGAUGCGCCGCUGCGAGCUCCCUGCCCGCGACCUCCGCCUCCUCGACCCGCUCUUCGUCUACCCCUCCACCGUCCUCGGCCGUGAGCGCACCAUCGUUGUCAACCUUGAGCAGAUCCGCUCGUCAUCACCGCCGACGAGGUGCUCCUCCUCAACUCCCUCGACAGCUACAUCUUCCAGUACGCCGCCGAGCUGCAGCGCCGCCUCCUCCAGCGCGCCGAGGGCGACGAGCUCCCCUUCGAGUUUCACGCCCUUGAGCUCGCCCUCGAGGCCGCCUGCUCCUUCCUCAACGCCCAGCUACAUCUCUAGGUACAAGAACCGGUUCCAUAACUUCAUCAAGCACCUGCGUGAAAUCGGUGAUGAGGUGGUAUAUUUUUCUGCUUUCAUUGUUGAGUACUACCGGAUACUGAUGGUGGUUGGUUUGACACAACUACAGGACAGUGGAUUAGUAGCAUGCAUGUGUGACUUAGUUUCUGGUGUGUUUCGCCGGAUCCCAGCGCGCUAACCGCCGCCUCCUGCGCCCGCGCAUAGCCUCACGCUCGCCGUUCGCGCUCCCUGCUGCUGUCGCUGAAGCUCUGUUGCUACCCCUCUGUUGCUUCCAACUGCCGCUGCUGCUCUCUGCUGCUGCGUAUUGCUCCUGCUCUACGGUGCAGCUGCUCUUACUGCUGCCGCUGCAUAGCUGCUUUAUAUACUACUCCGUAGCUAGCUAGUCAUACUAUUAUUUGAGAUGAUUCUUUGUCUAAGUAAUUAAAAUAUUUGUGAUUGAUUGUUGCCAUGAGGUGUCUAGCUUACUGUUAGAAGAUGAUAGAGGAUUGUAGCUUACUGGUUAAUGUCCCAAAACAAGGUGUAAUAAGGAACAAAUCCUUUAGGGGCAUAUCUGCUACUCUAUAUGCUGUCAUUUGUCUUUGUUUCAGUUUGUUGGAUCUGAUAAUAUGUCUAGGUGAAUACUAUAUUUAGAUCGUUUGCUCAACAAAAACACAAAUAGAGGCAAAAGUGAAAACUUUUAAACCUUUUCCAGGCAAGGAAAAAUGAACCGCUAGCACAAAUAUCUUCUCAGGUUGGAAUAAAGCUCAGCACAAAUAAAACAAGCACCAAGACGGCUAAAUUUUGCAAUCCAAAUAUUCUGUCUCUAGUCCAGAAUAUUACUCCCCCUCACCCCUCAUAUUUUUUUCCGAAGUGUUUAUUCUUCAUUAUCAUAGGGACUUGUAUCUACUUAAGAUUACAUUGAAACAUUCUGGUUAUGAAUACACUGCAUAGAAGCCAUGUAAUUUUGUGGUGCUUUCUCUAGUUCGUCCUUCACCUGGGAGGCCACUUGAAGGAUUAUAACAACAUGACAUAUCAAAGCUUUCUUGUCAAAUAAGAACUCAACUCACUGGAUGCAGGGAAGGAGAUGGAGGGUGACACACAGCCAUGGAGAGGAGCAGCAUCAGCUCAAGGUCCUUUCUCCUCCAUGCCACCUCUGCCCCUCUCUCGGUUUGAUUUGCUAUGUUGGGUUCCAAGAUUAUAAAUAAUUUUUGUUUCCAUCUUUAUCCAUGUGCUAUCAUUAACUCUGAGAAAAUGUUAUGUUUUUGCUGAUUAGUGGCAGUACAUCUUUGCUUUACUAUUCCUAGCAGCUGCAGUUCAUCUACCAUAAACAUGUUGUGUACAUUCUGAACCCCCAAACAUGACACAAGUGAUAUGUAUAUGCAGCAGGGAAUCGUCAACUUGUACAAUUUGUUGACUGGAAUGUAACUUGUACAGUUUUUACUUGAAUAUGUUCAGUUAUGAAGUCGUGUAGUUGUUUUUCUCAUCAGUUCUAAACUGCAGUACAUUACUGAAUUGUUGAUGAUG